rnacentral:rRNA from 1 species
CCAGACUCCUACGGGAGGCAGCAGUGGGGAAUAUUGCACAAUGGGGGAAACCCUGAUGCGGCGACGCCGCGUGAGUGAAGAAGUAUUUCGGUAUGUAAAGCUCUAUCAGCAGGGAAGAAAAUGACGGUACCUGACUAAGAAGCCCCGGCUGACUACGUGCCAGCAGCCGCGGUAAUACGUAGGGGGCAAGCGUUAUCCGGAUUUACUGGAUGUAAAGGGGGCGCAGACGGCGAUGCAAGCCAGGAGUGAAAGGUGCGGGCACAACCCGCAGACUGCACUGAGAACUGUAUGGCUGGAGUGCCGGAGGGGCAGGCGGAAUUCCUGGUGUAGCGGUGAAAUGCGUAGAUAUCAGGAGGAACACCGGUGGCGAAGGCGGUCUGCUGGACGGCGACUGACGUUGAGGCUCGAAAGCGUGGGGAGCGAACAGGAUUAGAUACCCCCGUAU